UGGGGAAUAUUGGACAAUGGGCGAAAGCCUGAUCCAGCCAUGCCGCGUGUGUGAAGAAGGUCUUCGGAUUGUAAAGCACUUUAAGUUGGGAGGAAGGGCAGUAAGCGAAUACCUUGCUGUUUUGACGUUACCGACAGAAUAAGCACCGGCUAACUCUGUGCCAGCAGCCGCGGUAAUACAGAGGGUGCAAGCGUUAAUCGGAAUUACUGGGCGUAAAGCGCGAGUAGGUGGUUCGUUAAGUUGAAUGUGAAAGCCCCGGGCUCAACCUGGGAACUGCAUCCAAAACUGGCGAGAUAGAGUAGGGCAGAGGGUGGUGGAAUUUCCUGUGUAGCGGUGAAAUGCGUAGAUAUAGGAAGGAACACCAGUGGCGAAGGCGACCACCUGGGCUCAUACUGACACUGAGGUGCGAAAGCGUGGGGAGCAAACAGG
rnacentral:rRNA from 1 species